AGAAGCAAUGAGCUUCUGGGAGGUUUGUACAGUGAUCAGCAUGGCUUGCUGGGGUCCCGCAUCUCCCCCUGCCCAGGGGUACCAGAACAGGCACAGAGCUGAAAAAGGAGCCCACAAGGCAGGAGAGAACCAAAUAGAAAUGGAGAGGAGUUUUUGUUGAUUUCUCAGCAGUAUAACAAGUCCCUGAAGUGAGGAAGAAUGCAAAGCCUCAUCCAAAGCAUCACAACAAGAAGCUGGAAACCCUCUGGAGAUCUGCAGUCCGCCAGUGCCUCCACUCUGCUGAUCUUGUCUAAGCUGUGCUGAAUGAAGGUUCACAAUGCCUAAAAUUUUGGGAUACAACUCUUGCUUGUCUGCAAUUAAAUUAUUGCUAUGAACAGCACUGCAGCUAAUGCAGCAUGUCUUUAAAUUGCAUUCUCCAAGGCUCAGAC